GUAGUUUUUGAUAAUUCCACAAAUUUGAGUGACUCUUUUGAAGUAUCUAUAGAUACCUCAUUUUUUUGAAGUUGUGCGAAAUUUAUUAGUUUUUUAGCAUUUGUACUUCUAAUUACAACCAAAGAAGGUAAAUAUAUAUUAUCCAAGAAGAUCUCGUUGAUGUCUAAUUGUACCAAGUUGGAUUGAGGAGAUGGUAAGUAUGUCAAGUUGAGCCACUUUCUAUCUAUUAUCUUGAGAAGUUUGUGGUUGUUAGUUAUUGGUUUUGGUUUUGAUUUUGGAUAUAUGCUACAAAUCUUUACUAUGUCCCAUGA
rnacentral:lncRNA from 1 species